GAGAGCCGGGUGCUCCUAACAGCGCAAGCCCGGUUCGGGGAGAGGCGGUUGGAAAAGUGCCGGCGACGGCAACUCGCUAGCCGCCUACUCUAC
rnacentral:ncRNA from 1 species